AAAGGGCUGCAGGUUUCGUUCCGGUCUUCCAGAACUAAGUAGCGGGGCAUCACAUGUUCGCUGGUGCGUCCAUGCUCCAAGUUUGGAUCCGUCCAAUAAUUGGAUGCAUGUUGGACUUGUCUAAUGCUUGACAGAUGCGUCCUCAUCUCAUAUGGAGUGACAUCAUGGCUUGUAUGAUUGAUUGCUCCGAGGCCAAAAGAGUGGUUGGUUUGGACGGCAGCCGGAUUUCAAACGUUUGGAAUCUGAAAGUUGACUGAACAUCCAGUGAAUGGAGAUCAUACUUUGCAUGUUUGGCCCCAUCUUGGUUCCAGAAGUUGCAAAUUUUUCAGGACUGAACAUCAUGGCUGAACAUUUUUUAAGGAUGCAUAGUUAUCCAGAAGUUCCAAAAUUUUCAUCAGUCAGCAGUUUAGCAUCUUCACUCCUUGAGAAAAAUGCAGCAAGUUACUGUUCAGGAAUUAGUUCUAGUCAGUUAGCAUCUUAAUGUGCUCUUGUUCUGACUCCUCACUCAUAGUUCCCAAUUUGUUCAUAACAGAGAAAAAUACCUUUUCUUCAUUUUGCCAUUUUCCGAUGAAUGAUCUAUCAGCUGCUCACUCGAAGACGAGAAGCGUCAGAAAAAAGAAUAUAUUAUCAUGUGUUGCUCCUUGUUUCCUUAGUCUAUCAGCUGCCACCUGCCUGACUAAACAAAGGUAUGCAUUUGGAUCAUACAUGAACAGUGCUGCUUUGAAGUUUUAAACUGUUACCUGUAACGAGACCUUUGGGAUCAACAAUGUCGAAGCUUUUUCUGAACCAUUGGAGUGUACUGCCUGACUCAUCAAUCACUCAUUGCACAUUCCUAUCAUACACAUUCGCAGGUCUGAUCUUAUUUUACUCCUACUCUGCAAAUGGACAAGAACACACCUGUACGCUACAGUCUUAGACUAGAAUGGAACCGUAGUCACACCGUAUGUCCGUAUCACAGAGAAGUACAUUGAAAAUACUGCAGCAAACUGAGCAUGUAGAGAAAGUUACAGUGAUUAUUCAAAAAAAGGAGAAAUUUACAGUGUCAAAACCACAACAGCAGAGAAUUAGUUCCCUUCCCAGAUUCUUUAUGUAAAGGAGGAAUUCCCUUGGAAUUUUGCAGAAACUGUACUUAUUUUGGCAAAAUCCCCGUCACCUCCAAUGCUCCGAAAAAGGCAUAGAGGAACCAAAUGCAAUGCACUUCUUUUCACUUCCACAAAGCUAUGUUUUACACCACUUCAUGAAAAAACAACAGCUUCUAAGAUCACUCUGAUAUCCCUCUCUCUCGUCGCAAGUGCAGACUGGUUUCUGAGCCUGGAGUCCGGAGCUGGUCAGUUGUGCAGGAAUUUUUUUUAAUUUUAACCCUUUUAAAACUAAAUUUUUAUAAAUAACUCCUCCCAAUCUUUAUUUCCAAGAAGUAGUCAUUUUGGUCACACCAAUCUCUAUGGCGCGACUAAUAUUUGAGUCGCGCCACAUGCAAUAGCGUGACUAACAUAACACAAUGGCAUGAACAAAUAUCAACAGCCGCGUGGCGAUGAUGUGACGAUGACGUGGCGGAGCGAGUCACGCCACGCCACGUGGCGUGACUCAGUCGCGCCAGAGAGUACGGCGAGUAUGGCGUGACCAGCUCCCCCCGUUGGUUGAAAAUGCAGCCUACUUAGCCAUAUUUCAACUUACGUUCUAAUUGACUAAUGAUCUCUUUAAAUUUAUCAAACUUGAUAAGAAUAAUAUAUAGAGUAUAUAUGUUCCAUUUUAAGCGUUUACACUCCAAAAUAUGGUUUGGAAAUCGAGGAAUCCAAUUUCUAAAUAGGCUAAGUGUUAUUGGUUGUAAGCAGAGAGAAAGCUAAACAGAACGUUAGCUUAUGCACGUAAUAGUAAAAAAAAACAGAGAGAAAAAGCUAAACGGAACGUAGAGAGGAGAAAGAGUAAUCUGUAUGCAGACAACGUUUAUACGAAUAAUGAUUGUAUAUGUAAAUGUGAGUUUCAACGAGAACUUAAAGUUUUAAGUAAUAAUGUUUAAAGGACUCAACAAACAGCUAGGAGGGACAACAUGAAAUUAUUCUUCAUCGUGUAGGCCUUUCUUCUUUAAUCUGGAGUGAGAUGACUGCAUAUAUCCAUGCCAAAAACUUUGGACAUGAAUGAAUCACAUCUGUGUGUACGUUUGCCUGAAUGAACUAUACCUACAGAAUUAAGAGAGCAUUAGCAUGAGUCAAUCCAGCUUAUAAAUAACAUGAGUCGGUCAGUGAUCAUUAAAGACAUUAUGCAUACUGUAGGGAAGAGAUUGAUUGGAACUAAAAAGUUAUGGCAGUGACCGCCCAUGGACAACAUACCUUAAUCACGUUAGUUGUUAUGAUCAUUUGGUUUGAUCUCUUUAGAUACAAGUGUACAACAAUAACGCUUAGCCUAUUUAGAAAUUGGAUUUCUCAUUUUUCAAACCAUAUUUUGGAGUGUAAGCACUUAAAAUGGAACAUAUAUACUCUAUAAAUUAUGCUUGUCAAGUUUGACAAAUUUAAGAGAUCAUUAGCUAAUUAGAAUGGAAGAUGAAAUAUGGCUAAGUAGGCUGCAUUUUUGUGCACUUUGGGUCCAACCAGAGCAACCAAGGGGGAGCUGGUCACGCAGAGGCUGGCGUGACUCGCUAUGCCACGUCAUCACCAUGCUGCCGUUAUGUCAUGUUAGUCACGUCAUUGCAUGUGGCGCGAUUUAAGUAUUAGUGGUGCCAUAAAGUUUGACGUGACUAAAAGUGCUACUUCUUGGAAAUAUAGAUCGAGAAGGAUUAUUUAUAAAAUUUUAGUUUUAAAAGGGUUAAAAUUAAAAAAAUCGUUGUGCAGUGGGUUUGGCGCCUGAGGCACCAACCUCUUGGACGCAACGAGCAUGUGCUUGCAACAUUGACCAAGGCGUCGCCCUGAAGCUGAAGAAGAUGCCUGCUUAGAGAAAUAGGCCGGUGGCAAGCCCCCUCCGCCGCUGCCGUCGUCGACACCCAGUUCUGCUACUCUCCGGCCAUAGCUAACGAUUGACAUGUCUGUCAUUACGAGAAGACUGAUGAGCAGCAGCAUUAGCAUGGUUUUCAGAGAUCUUCUCACCAUGAUGCGAUGCUUCAAUUCAAGAGAGAUGUUAGAGAAGAGAAGGUGAGGUAGAGGGAAUCAGGGAAGAAGAAGAAGAACUGGGCCCAGAAGUUUUGCACACAAAUCUGAUACUUCGCCGCUUUAUAGCGAGAAGGUUAUGGAUCACCAACUACUUUUUCCAAUGGAAGUCUAAGGAUUUAAUGGUGACGUGACAGAUUGAUUGUUCUCUUAUAACAUACCGCAUAGUCUUGAUUGAACAGUGCACAUGAAUCUCAAAGAACAACUGGUUUGCCAAAAGGAAACACUGGACUCUCACUCACACGGCCAUACUCUCUGCUCGGUUGCUCUGUCAGUGUGCCAAGAGCUAGGAAGGAUGUUUGCAGAGGCAUGAUGUGUACUUGGGCUAAAAGACACGCAUGUCACCUCUUUAGCAUGAGUGCCUGACAAAGAAGUCUUUUACCGGCACAGAAGAGCACAAAGUGCUCCGUAUCUUUCCGAUCGAUCAUUUCAGUCAUUGUUUAGGUCCCGAUUUUCGGGAAUUGAAUCCAGUGAAGAUUUUGGCUCAAAGGUCACAAAGUAGAAAGUACACGGGUGUCCAUCAGUGAUGAGUCAGAGCCAUGGCCUUUUCUUCAUAAACGAACAAAAAAAACGUUUUCUUUUUCCAUGAAAUUUUCUUGCCACGUGAGUGAAAUUUCAGCAGCCCGCAACACUUCACUGUCAGAGAAAUCAAACUCGUAAAAUUUCUCGCGCGAAGGCGAAGUGUUUCAUAAGCAUGUGGAUCUGUCCCGAUUGGCCAUCAUGUGUAUGCCACGUGCCUUAAGAUUUCAGUCAUUAAAACUCCAUCCGCACACCAGAUUUCUCAGCAGGCGGCAGCAACCAACCGAGCCCUGAUUUUUCUCCCCCGGAUUCCUCGCGGUCGCCGGCGAUGCGAUGUGACGCGAUCGCGUGGAAAACGACAUUGAUCGGCGGCGGCGUGCCGGACUCCGGCAUCUGCUGCUUGGUUCCCUUUCUUCUGCGUGAGACGGUGACGCACUGAAGCCGAAGAAGAGCGUGCGUUUCCCCGAUCUAUGUGAUUAGUCAGCAAAGCAGCCCAACCCAUCUUUAUUGGGCUACAAGGCUGGCCCAAUAGUGCUAGGAAUUCUGUGCUCUGCAGCCCACGCGGGAGGGUAUUAGCAAUGGCAAAGCAGCACAACCUGGCGUCACGGCCGCGGUGGUUAGUCCCACCCUGCUUAGUCUGAAGGUGAUUACCCAGCGAUCACACGUCUUAUAGAGCGGCAGCCGGAGGCUUGGAACUCAAGCAGCUGCGUGGUGAGCACAAAGCGAACUAUUCUUUCGCCUUUUACUAAAGAAUACCGUGUGCACGCCACAAUAAGCAGCAUACCCCAAUUUUUGGAGGGUGCUUUCUCCUUGAGGAAGCGCCCAACAAACUAAUUGUUCAAAAUUUUGAGGUUUCUCUUUACGGAUUAAAUUACGUUCUCUUCCGGGAGGUUCCAAACGGUUCAGGAUUUAAAGGUGAACACUCUACCCUUGAAUACUUGAGAAUCGCCCGCAGGCCCUUCAAUUGUAUUGUUCAAAAUCUUAAAAUUGUUCAAUUUCUCCUCUUCUCGUUGAAGAAGCCCUCGAUCUUCUGCUGAAUCCGAAUAAUCCCCAAGAGAAAGCCAUCUCAAAUGGCAGCGCCUAGCCCCAAAUUAGUGAUGUUUUCGACGACUGGCAUUCGAUUGACGAUUAAGCAAACCUUCAAUCGACUGACGUCGAGAAAUUCUGCUAUUUGUUUAUCCAUACAUGCAUGAACAUUCGGGAAGAACAUAUCAACAUUGGAGAAACAACAACAAAAAAAGAAGACAACAGAUAACUGGAUUCGAACCAUCUUAUAUUCUGAUCUCUUGACAGGGGAAACUCUACAGAAAUGUUAAUGUUCAGCAGUCUGAAUACGAGGCUAAAGUAAGAGGUAUACGGUACCAGUUCAAGCUUACAAGUACAAUGCAAAAGGGCGUCAACUGACACUUGAUCGAUUCCUGUUUAUUCGUCCAAAUAGCGUAUAUAACUUAAGAAGAAUGGGGCUCUUGCCACAGCAGCUCGAGCAAUAAUGUACAAAGAUAUGCAGCUGGAGUGGACAAUUUGCCACUGCCUCUCAACAGAUUGAGCUGCUGCCAUGGCGCUAAUUCACGACACAGUUGGCGAUCUCAGCGAUAGGGAAGGAGCUAAGCGAAGGAUUAAAAAGAAAAUGGGAAUCAGAGUAUGUAUACACGGUGUAGAAAAAUUGCUUCCUGGCCUCAGUUUUGGGUCUUCUCCACCUUGGCCUUGAUCUUCUGCUCAAUGAUCGCCUUCUCGGUGUCGAGGCUGAACAUCCGGUUAAGGGCAUGCAUGUUCUCAAGCGUCUCAUCGAGGGUGCGGCUAUCGCUGCCAUCGCACCUCAAGUGCUGCAGCGGGCCAUGGAGGAGCUUGUUCACGAUGCCAGUGCUCAGCUCCUCGAUGGCUCUCCGCAUCUUCUUGUUAAGAUUGUCUUCACCGAUCUUCUGAAGGCACUUCUCGAGCUCUGAGGCCCGGAUCCUGUCAGCAUAUGACCUCAACUUCUUGAUGGUCGGCACGGUCUCCAGUGAGUCCCUCCAUGCCUCAAACCGUUUCAGUUCUUGGGUGAUGAUUGUCUGCGCUUCCAUUGCUUUCCUGAGACGGUCCUCCUUGUUGGCUUCCACCACCUCUUUCAAGUCGUCAACAUUGUAUACUCGUGCGGAACCAACUUCAGACACACAAGCACUGACAUUUCUCGGGACAGAUAUGUCGACAAACAGACGGACACCACCCAUUGUAUCAGAAAUAGGGGGGAGUGCCUCUGCGUGCUCCUUUGUGAACAAUGGGGUUUCAGAUGCAGUGCUCGUGAACACAACAUCAGCUUCAGCAGCAGCUUCAUACAUCUCUGAUAGAGGCCUGUACACAAUCUCGAUAUCUUUCAUCUCCUCGCAAAUGGCAUCCACCCUUUCCACCGAGCGGUUCACCACAACAACCUUCUUGCAUCCUUUGGCAAUGAGAUGCUUGAUCACUAAUUUGCCCAUCUUACCAGCACCAAUCAGCAGCAUUCUACCUGACAGGGCUUCAGUCUUUGGAAGCUUCAUCAGGGCCAAUUCAACAGCAGCUGAACUGACAGAAACCGCACCAGAUGAUAUGUUGGUCUCACAUCGGACACGCUUCCCAGCUGUGAUUGCAUCCUUGAACAUCCUAUCAAUGUUCUUUCCCAGGCCUCCACUGUUUUGCCCACUCCUUACAACUUGCUUAACUUGAGCAAGGAUUUGUCCUUCACCGAGAACCAAAGAGUCAAGCCCUGCUGAUACCUCAAACAGAUGGCGUGUGGCAUCACUGUCACGCAACAUGAACAGGUGCUCCCUGAGCUCAGAAGCAGGAAUGCCACUUUUCUGUAAAACCAAAAAAAUGCACACAUCAGGGCGUCUUUCCCAAAUGGAGUCCUUGAGCAACCAAAAGGGAAAGCUGGAAAAAAAAAAAGAAGACUGGAUGGAACAAAUAUAGUUGAUCAGACUCUCACCUUUGACAUCCAGUCUACUACUUCUCUGAUACCACGGUUCCAUGACAGAGCCACCACAUAAAUUUCCAUUCUAUUGCAGGUACUAAGAACAGCAGCCUCUUCAAUAUGGUUAAGAUUUGUGAGUUCUUGAAUAGCACGAGGCCAUAGUUCCUCUGCAACCGCAAGUUUUUCACGCAUCUCCACUGGUGCUGUGUGUACACUGAGGCCUAUCACAGCUAUGCUACUCCUUUCUUUCAUGUACCCUGGUAGUGGAUAUAAAAGUUAAGACAUUAUCAAACAUGGCACACUGCACAGAGAAAAUCUGUUUCUAGUAGAAGUAAACUGAAUAUAGCUGCAUCAAUGUUAUUGCUUGAAGUUCCAUAGAUAUUUUAUUGAAGCAAAUUCUAUGUGGAGAAUUUCACGUGUUUACACUAGAUGAGUAUGACCAAAACGAGAGAGACUCAAUUUUUUUCAGUGCAAAAUGCUUGACAUCUUUGUUGUCCAAAUUAGAUUUCUCUUUCCUAAGGACAACGCAGUUCUGUAUGCAUUCACUAUCAUUUGUCUGGCUACCACAUGUUAUUUUGGUGGAUAUAAACACAGAUAACACCACCAAUUUGUGAAGCAUUGGCUCCACAAUCAGUUAGCCCUUGAACAAAUCCCCCAAAAUAACUUGCCAAAUUCACUAGUGGCUGCUUGACUCGGUUCAGAAAGGAAACCAAUUAAUGUUUCAAUUGGAAUGCCGGGCAGUUUCCUCAUCCCCAUGACCAAUUCCAAAUGACACAAGCCAACUCCUCUCUGAUGCCACACGACCUGGUCUCCGACUCCACAUACUAAUCUUACUCAACUCAUGUAACUAGGCUGUGAAAAUUUCUAACGAACGGCAGUAACAUGGAAAAUUCAAGUUAAGCUUGGUGAAGGAAAAAAUUGCGACAGGAAAACGCAAAGUUUCACACCCAUCCCUUUUUCUUCCCCAAACAACCCACACCUUUUGACCUGUACCAAACCAAAACUAAUCCCAACUGCAGCAGUAACCUCGACGCGACGCCAAAGAUUCCUCAAAUCGCGCACAAGAAAAUCACUUCACCAGGCCGCCACAAUCCCCGCAUCCCAGGAUUACAGGAAAGGAAACAGCGGCGGCGGAUUUGAGGACAGACGAGGGGAAAGGACUCACGGUCGGCGGAGAUCUUGAACUGCUCGAGCGCGGCGAUGCUGGCCGCCUUGGCCACCGCCUGCGCCUGUGCCUCCACGCCGGCAUCGCACCGCACCACCCCGGAGCGCCUCCUACCGCCGGCGGUCACCCUCGGGCAGAGGGCCAACGGCGACCCCCGCGGCUUGGCGGCGGACGCGGCCCCGAAUGCCGCGGCGGCGGCGGUCGCUGACGUCGUGCUCGCCAUCAUCUAGAUCAAGGAAGACAGAAAAGCUGCCUCCUUUCGCAAGGAAACCAAACCAAUGCGACGUGAAUCGCGGGCAGGUAGGCGGAGGGAGGGAGAUACACAGAGAGAGAGAGGCGAGGAGAAACUUCUAUCGCUUCUCUCUCUACCUCUCUCCCGCUUCUAGGAGUGGUUCUUGGUGAGGGUCCUCGGUGAGCGAGGGCGGAGAUGUGGAAUUGGUUUCGGCCUCGCGUUAGCCCGAGGGACGGGAGGGGAUGGAGAGGAGGAAGAAAGGCUCGGCUGCUGCUUGGAGCCAAAGGUUAUGGGAGGGUUGUUGGGUCGCCGGAGCCUAGCGGCAUGGCGUGUGGGGCCCACGCGUGGUGGGGUGCCUUUGGGCUCGGUCUUUGGGUCGGCCCGGAAUUUUCUAUGCUAGAAAGUAUUUUGCGUAAAGCCCCUCCUGAUCAGCAAUUAUUGCAUUAAACUUCUUACUCUCACAAACUGAACUUUGCUAGAUUCUGUGUAUCAUGUACUCCCUCCUUUCCAAAUUGUAGGUCAUUUUGACUUUUCUAAAUUUAUAAAUAUUAUUAUGCAUUUAGACAUAGUGCAUAGCAAAAACUAUGCACCUUCUAACCAAAAUAAACUACAAUUUGAAACAGAGGGAGUACAAACUUAAUUUGAUGAAGUCUAUAUGGAACUCUUCCUUAGUUCAAAGAAACAAGUAUCAUGAUUUACUAAUAGCUCGAUUAUGAGCUAUGACAAUGAACCCGUUCAUGCAUCAAAUCCGCACAUAUAUAAUCAUAUCUCAAUCACGCUUACCACGAAUUUUCAUAUGGUAGUGAGUGCAAAAUGCAAUGUGGAUUUUUCGUGUACAAUACUUUCUGUCCAAAUUCCAUCGAUGCAACGAAAAAUCAACCGUUGGUCGCUGCCUUGUUGGCGUGGCAUGGGAAAAACACAGACCUCCAUAUAACAAUUUUUAGGAAGUUUGAGGAGGCCUUAGCAUCUUUCCCUCCAUGUAUUUUGCUUACAUUUUUUUUAUGCCGCAUGUUGGCACUGGUGGGGUGGGUUAGGCGAGAUGAGCCGGCGGAUGAGAGGGUAGCGGGAGUGUGGUGGCCUCUGGCCUCUGAUUGGCUGCGGCCGCACCCUUCUAUCCACAACCCUUAUCUCUCUCCUCCCUCCGAUCUCUCUGACCCCGGGGCUUUUGUAUGGCCUGCGAGGUGGGCACACGAGUUCGCAUGGCCGCCUCACGCGCAGCCUCGUGUGGAUGAUGGCGAAGCGUGUCGACGUGGUGGCCACACUCUCCUGCCCCCCGGGGCCCUCCUGUCUGUGGCCCUUUCACGUGGAAUAUUCGGCGCCUAUUGGAUCCGUAUGGACGUGGAUUCAUGGACUCGGUCCGUUUAGAACUCGCAGGAUUUUCGUGUUUAAAAAAAAAUUACAUCCAUCAUACAACAACUAGUUAGGUGGGUGCAAAUUAAUCUAACACCUAGUAAAAUGCUCAAUGUAGUACAAUAACUUUAUAGGUGGGUACGGAUUGAUCUAACAACUUGUGAAAUGAUAAAAUUAGUACAAUUUGUAAAUUGGUUCACCUGUAGUCCAAAAUAUUAGAACAACAAUAUAUUAAGCAAGGAUGGACAUGUGAAUUUUCUUUCAGACAAUAAUUCUUAAUUUUUCUGUUAACAAGAGUUAUUAUCAUGAUUAGAUUGUUUCUUCUCAACUAUGUACAUAACUUAUUUGUUCAUUAGUAAAAAUGAAUCAAAUUUUAGAUUUACUCUAUUGGCUUUAUCGAAAGACUAAAGUCCAUAAAAGAGACUCCAUGACCUUUAGGUUUUCACCGCACUUCUGCUCAUGUAUUCAACAUCUGUAUAGAAUCAUAUUUGUUUCUGUUAUUUUAGCUUAUUUUUCUUUUCUAAACAAGUACAUGAAACUUUAAAAAUAUUUAUGCUAAGUUUCUAAAAGAUAAUUUUAGUAUGUAUUAACAUGUUGAUUUUGUUUACCUCAACAAUGUAUAUAAUCAAAUAUGUGAAAACAGUGAAGGUAAACUUUCAAUAUUGUAUACGAAAUUAAAUAUUUUUGUCAAAAUUAAAUUACUAUAUAAAAAUAAUUAAUAUGAAGAUAUAACGUCACUGAAGGUUUUAAUCUUAGCUAAAUGUAUUGACAUUAUCAUGCGAAUAUCAAUAAUAAAAUAAUGCUUAAUAGUUUAUUUUGACUUGAAAAUAAUCUGAUAGGGCAUUAGCAAAUAUGCUGCUUAUUAUAACAUUCAAACUGCAGAUGCACCAAUUGGUCAAGUUAUUAUACUAAUUUGAGCAUUUUAUAAGUUACUAAUUUGAGCAUUUUACCCACCUGUAAAGUUAUUGUACUAGAUUGAGCAUUUUAUAAGUUGUUGAACUAAUUUGUACCCACCUAACAAGUUGUUGUAUGGUGGAUGCAAUUUACUCUUAAAAAAAUCAUUUUCCAGUUUCCGGUAACAGAUCACAUGAAAAUUACAGGUUGAAAAAUAACUUGCCACAUGAAAAUUACAUGUUUAAAAAGAUAAGUAAGUCGGUAACUAGGCCCAAACCUCCAUCUUGGAAUUUUUUUUAAAACGAAUCGGGUAAGAGAGUUACCAAUUAUAUUUAAAAAUAGAAGAAAACCUAGAUUGAGCAAUAAAAAACUACCACAACAACUACUCUCACAACAACAACCAACAGCUUAGGAUUAUGGAGUGUAGUUCAUGUUUCUGAGCAUUUGCAAUUUGGUAAGAUACCCACCUGCCUUAUUUUGCCGCGUCAUUUUUGUUGAGCACGUGUUUAGAGGAUUUGCAUUCUGCCUACUGUCUUUCGUCAAAUCGUCGCGCGGUCUCUAUUGAACCCAUGUUUUGGAGCAAGCUCCAUGGUGAUACCCUUGCUUGGCCGGAUUUUUCCACUAGUACUGUUUUCCGGUAGACCUUUCGGUCGGAGCAUGCAAUUUGAGAGGCUAGGAAGGACAACAUCAAAGCCAACUGUCCCAAGGCUCCUACUUUGGCAGCUAGAAGACGUCUUUGAGUACGUCAGUUACCUGCAUCCUUGUUAAGGAUUACUGGAUGUGCUAAUAACAUGGAGUACUAGUGCUAGAUCUAUUUGGAUAUGCUAUUGUUAAAGUUUAGCUCAUCUAAAAUUUAGCACUUUCAUCCAUUAGCACUCUUGUUUGGAGACCUAGCUAAUGGAUAGAACUAAAGUCCAUAAAAAGUCACUUUUACCCUUUUAUCUCCUCACCUCCUCCCUUUCUCUCUCCCCUUUUUAUCUUUUCACGAGCCAUUAGCACCCAUUAGCUAAUGUUUUUGCACUUUUUUGUGAAGGGCUUCCAUUAGUCCUUCCAUUUGGACGUGCUAAUGCAUUAGCACUUUUCACUCAGGCCUUGUUUAGUUACCCUAAAAUCCUAACUUUAGCACUAUGCAAAAAGAAGAUUCCCCAUCACAUCAAACUUACGGUACAUGCAUGGAGUACUGAAUGUAGACGAAAUCAAGAACUAAUUGCACAGUUUGGUUAUACUUUGUGAGACGAAUCUUUUGAGCCUAAUUAGUCAAUAUUUGGAUAAUAAUUCACAAACACAAACGAAACGCUACAGUAUGCUACAUUGCUGGCGCAUUGAUUUUGGUUGUCCAAAAUCAGGCAACUAAACAAGACCUCAUUAGUCAUGGGAUCCAAACAGACCCACAUCUUUGCAUAAACUAAUCAAGAGACGUUGUACAUGGGAAAGAAAUUCGAACCAGAAAUUGUCAACGCAGCCAGCUCACACCACACUGCUAUUCCGAAAACACAUCACAUGGAGAGAGGAAUACAAUACUACGGUAGUAUAUAGUAUUGUAUUUUGUAGACGAACCUUCGUCAAAAAGAAAAAUCCUUCCGCGGUUGACACCUUCAUGGCGCGCGUUGUACAGCUCUGUUUCUGCACGUUUUAGUUGGGCGCUUGGUUUGUCAAAGCUGGGAUCUUCUGCUCACAAUGACUCAUUCCUUUUCUGCAAGGCAUGUUUGACAGGUCAGCGGAUGCAAGAGAUCCCGGCACAGAAAAUCCCUACUCGUCAAUAAAGCCUUCUCCAUGGACCCAGCUGGUUUGGUAAUGGCUUUGACCGGAGCUUUUCCUCCUCUUCCUUUGAUUCCUCUUUCAUCUGCUAGCUGCAGGCCUUUCCCACUGGACGGCAAAGGCAUGUCAAAUUCUCAGCAUGUGUUCUUUGACGGCUACAGAUUUUUUUGUUCCUUGCAGGCCAUUUAAUUUUUGGUACUUAAAGCAAUAAAAGAAUAAAAUCUCUGCUGUAUUAACCUUUUUUUUCUCGAGGUAUAUUCAUCAUGUGAUUUGCGUAACAAGAUGAUUAAUACAUGAAAACUCGUUAAUUUGGAGGGAAGACGGACAUGAAAUGGACGGUUAAAAAAAAGGAAGGGAAGUGGUAGGAGGGAAUCUUGACCUGCCCCAGCUUAAUGGCAGGAGAGGAAUGGGAAAGGUAAAGACAAGCCGGUAUCAACUUCAAACGCAACCGAACAAUCUUGCGACAUGAUCGUGCGUGACAUACGCCAUGAGAUAUUCAAGAAGAAAGCUUGUUUAGGUUGGUUGUGCGCUGUCCACCCGUCCUUGACAGGCGGAAGUAGUGGAAGUACAUCAGAAAACAAUCCUGAUGCGCUCCCUUUAUUGAGCAAUGAUCGAUGUGUUCUGGAAGCUCAUUCAGCAUUUCAGCUUAAAAUAAAAUAUCCCGAGUCUCUAGAUUCCAUGACUAGAUAUUGUACGACAGGAACAUUUGCACUACUGUGUUUAAUUGGGUUUAGAUGUCAUCUAGGUGAGCAGAAAUGUGCUUGCUGCUUAGCGUCACUCUAUGCAUUUGACAGCUUGUGCUCAUCUAUUAAUCUGGGCAUGAUGCCGCCUGACUGCUUGCUGUGAGUGACUGCUUGCUGUGAUCAAAACUUGAACUUUUACGUCAGUAGCCGGUUCCAUGAUGAAAAAAUUGCAAAUAGAUGGUGGCCUACAAGAGGAUGAGUCUCGCCAGUGCCUCUGCGUUGAGUCACUACCUUGUAGGACCGGGUGGGAACUCAACUGCAUAGGAUCCGUGUCCCUACAAGAGAGGACUCAUGAGCCCAAGCAGGCCAGGCGGACCAGGAUCGGGUGCAGUAGCUACUACCACUGCAAGCUAAGCAGUGGUACUGUAGCAGCACGGGUCCACACGCAGGGAGAGGAAUGGAUGGUGUACUGUUCAACUGCACUGUUCACUACUACCAUGUGGUACUGUGCCGAUGAAUACAGUAUCAGAACCCAGUAGCAGCCGAUCCUGACCGUGCAUCACUGAAAGUGGACGGCUCAGAUCGCAUGCAGUGCUAACAUAGGGGUGUUUGGGAUCGAAUGUUUGGAACUGCUGAAUUUUCAGACACAAAGAAUCAUCGGUGCUAACCAUCAUGGCACGCUACUACUUCUUUUUUACAGUUGAAAUAGGCAUUAUGCCUGUUCAUUAAAAAAAUGAGCCCAACCAAGCCGGGAGUAAAGCCAGGGAUCCUCCAAUAUAUGAUCCUCAAAGAGAAACCUUAAAUUUAAACAUUUAUUUUGUUGGACGCUUCCUCAAGGAGAAAGCACCCUCCAAAAAUUGGGGUAUGCUGCUUAUUGUGGCGUGCACACGGUAUUCUUUAGUAAAAGGCGAAAGAAUAGUUCGCUUUGUGCUCACCACGCAGCUGCUUGAGUUCUAAUCCAUCAGCUGCCGCUCUACAAGACGUGUGAUCGCUGGGUAAUCACCUUGAGACUAAGCAGGGUGGGACUAACACGGGUUGCGUUGAGCUGCUUUGCCACAUUGCUAACACCCUCCCGCAUGGGCCGCAGAGCACAGAACUCCUGGCAUUAUUGGGUCAGCCUUGUAGCCCAAUAAAGAUGGAUUGGGCUGCUUUGCUGACUGAUCACACGUGGUGACGUAGAUCCGGGAAACGCUCUUCUUCUCACGGCGAUGAUUAGACAUCCGUCGCCUGCAGCCCUGCGGGAAGUUUUGGAGGUGUUUGAUAUCCCACUAAACUUUAUCACCUAUCACAUUGGAUAUUUGAAUACUAAUUAGUAGUAUUAAAUAUACUCUAAUUAUAAACUAAUUGCAUAGGUGAAGUCUAAUUCGCGAGACAAAUCUAUUAAACCUAAUUAGUUCAUGAUUUGACAAUAUGAUGCUACAGUAACCAUUACUAAUGAUGGAUUAAUUAGUUUUUAAUAGAUUUAUCUCGCGAAUUAAACUCCAUUUGUACAAUUAAUUUUAUAAUUAGCUCAUAUUUAGUCCUUCUAAUUAGCAUCCGAACAUGUGACUAUGCUAAAAUUUAGCAUCAUGUAUCCAAACAGCUAGCCUAUUUACUUUUCUAGCUGGUCUGUUUUUGCUAGGUGGGCACGUGCUAUUAAUAAUAGUCUCCUGACGGUCAGCAGCACGCAGCCGCAUCUUAACUUUUCUUUUUCUUUUUCUUUCUUGUUUGUUUUUUUUUCUGUUUUUUCUUUUUCGAAUUGUUUUACGGAAAUUCCUUCUCAAGUGUAUUCUAUUUCUCAUCUUGCACGGACCAAUUCUUUGUUUCUAUUUAUUUUUCCUUUUUAAGUAUAUAUAAUGCUUUUAUUUAUUUGUAUUUUCAUAAUUCAUGUUCCUUUCCUUAUUUUUCUAUACACUACGUCUCCUGUUGCUGUACAUCAAUAUUUGAUUUUUCUUUUUUCAUGUUCCAUUAUUACUUUAAUCCUUUAUUUCAUUUGAGUUUCCAUAUUCCCAAUCUAUUUUUUUUCAUUUUUACGUAUUUCCUCCUUUUGUAUUUUUUUGUUAGUUUUCAUUCUUCCCAUAGUUCCACAAUGUGUUUGUCCUAGUGCGCAAAUCUUUAUAUCAUGUGUUCAUACAUUCUUUGUAUAUGUUUAAUUUUUUAUUUAUUUUACAUUAUUCCAUACUUCUCCCAUGUCCAUAAUAUAUUUGUUGUAUAAUUUAGUUUGCCUGUAUAAAUAUUUUUUUAAUAAGGUUGUUAAAUUUGCUCCUUAUCUAUAGAAUUUUGUUCCUUGAGUUUGUAUAAUUUGUUCAGAUGAUUGGUUAUGGACUGAGUUUAUAUAAUUUGUUCCAUACAUAUAAUUUUUUGUUUCGUGAAUUCGUAUAAUUUGUUCUGAGUCUAUACAUUUUUAUUUUUUUAUAUAUAUUCAUAUAAUUUGUUCGAGGUGUGCAACUACUUUGUUCUGUGAGUUCGUAUAAUUGUUUCAGAGAUGUUGGGGGGAAAUAUUAAUGACCUCAUAAAGCCCAUGAAAACAACAAAUCAUAAAGGUCCAAGCCCGUCUAAGGCGAUAAAGACUGCCGUCGGCCCAACACGGGAGGAGAGAGCCACGCUCCGCCUCGCCCGACCCCGACGUCCCGGGAUCAGACGCUCCCGACCCCCCGCCGCAAGACUCCGCCUCGCCCGACCCAGGGCACAGGGGAUCGGACUCACCGGGGCCCACCAGACAAGUAUCCGCCUCGGGCGCGGGUCUCGUGGGUCCCCCUGUCGAUCUCGCCAUAAAUGCGUCACAGUUCUGACACGCAGAAAGGCGCUCGUGCCCCCGACGCAACCCGCCACAAGUACCCUUGCGCGGCCAGGCAACAGUGGCUGCGGCCUCCUCCGAUUCUCCUCCGAUUCGCUACAGGGCACUCAUGGCCUGCGUCGCCCGAAGCAGGAGGAAGCCUCGCCCGUUCUCGCGCCCCGCGCAUCCGGCGACAGAGACGUGACGUCUGCCUUCCGCGGGCCGUCCGCAAGAUGGCAGGAUCAGCCGCCUUCCCCAACGGACACAGGUGCCACGACGAAACACCAUCAUCACGCCUGGCGGCAACAGCCACCAAGGAGACCAUCGACAGGACUCAACGGCGGCCGCCCUCUUCCAGCGGACACGCCGGCGGGAGCCGAAGACCGGAGAGGAUGCCGGCGGCCUAGGGACUUGGUCCCUCCCCUUGUGUUGUAUCUUACUUGACUUAGUUUAUCUCUUUUACUUCUCCUCACACCCGGUUUCACUUGUAACCCCGGUGGCCUCCUUGCACUAUAAAAGGAGAACCGGGGGCCCUGAGACAGGGGGACUCUCAGAAGCCAACAGAACCCUCUCACUCUCAUUUAGAGCAUCAGUGCACACCCAAGAGACUUGGGACCAGCUCCCUCUCUCGCCCUCCUGUAACCCCUACUACAUACCCCGCGUGGGCAACACGAGCAACUCCCGAUACUAGACGUAGGGCUCUUCCUUGUCCGAACCAGUCUAAACCCCAUUUCUCCCACGCCACCAUCCAAAGCCUUACGCGCAUAAAAGAAAUUUACUAGUCGUAGUCUUGAUCCGCUAAUCUUGACAACAACAAGAGAUACAUAUCAUAAAAUUUUACCUUCAUAAAAGAUAUAUCCAUAAAUAAAUUUCAUCCAAAUAUAGUUGAGUGUUUAUUCUGAAGAUCUUGUUGUAAUAAGAUUAAUAGUGCAAUCGGAAUUUAAUUUAGAUGGUCGGUUUAAGAAUUAUGUUUUUUUUUAAAAUUUUGAACACCCCUUCACAUGUGGACGAUGUCAUUAAUUUCGUCUUUUCUACAUGCAUCCACGUGAAGUUUACUCCUUUCGAACGGGCUCCUUACCGCUUUUUAAGCCUAACUUGGCUCGCUUUACCGAUGCGGACAACUUUUUUAGCCUAAUAUAGGCCGUCCUACUGCUGUGAAUACAUGAUGUCUUAAUUAAUCCGGAAAACUCUUCGGAAAGGUAGGAAGGCAUUGAAUCUUCUAGUAUUUGAGAUUCAUGCAAGUAAUGAGUUCCAUAAGAUCUACAUCAAAUCUAAACCCUAUCUCCCUCCGCUGCUUGCGCCGCGGCCCCCUUGCCACGGUUGCCACCCCUCCCUCCCCUACCACCACCCCUCACGCGGGCCCCGCCACCCUCGCCGGAUUCAACUUUUUUUUGAAAAAAAUAUUGGUGCAACUUUUUUUUUCAAAAAAUGUUAGAUUCAACUUUUUCUAAAGAAAUGUUGGCUCAACUUUUUUCGAAUAAAUGUUGGUUCAACUUUGUUUUCCGAAGAAAUGUUGGUCCAACUUUUUUGAAAAAAAUGUUGGUCCAACUUUUUUGAAAAAAUGGGAAGAAGAUAGUUGAGAUGGAUCUUGGUGGGUUGGAAGAUAAGGCAGAAAUCUUACGAGUUUGAUUUCUCUGACAGCGAAGUGUUGCGGUCCGCUGAAUUUCACUCACGUGGCACGAAAAUUUCAUGGAAAAGCCGUGCUUUUUGUUCGUUUGUAUGAAGACAAAAAGCAAUGACAGAACUCACCACUGAUGGACGUCUGCAUGUGCACUGUGACCUUUGAGACAAACUCUUGGACCUAAUAACCAUGCAAGACUAAAAUGAUCGAUCAGUAAUUCAGAAUGAUACGGAGCACUCUGUGCUCUUCUGUACCGGCAAAGCAGUGCAAUGCGUGUCUUUUAGCACUAGUCAAGGACACGUCAUGACUUGGCACACUAGCAGAGUAUGACCAUGUGAAUCAGAGUGUGUUUCUUUUUUGGCAAACCAAUUGUUCUUCGAGAUUCACGGAGCCAAGGGCCAACGAAGGAAAAAAAUUGCAAAAAGAUGGUGGUCUGCCAGAGAGGGCGCAUGGGCCUAAGCGGGACUGAAGCGCAGCGGCCCGUUAUCCUUCCACCGUUGGAAGCGGGCGGUAUUCGCUGCUCUGUGAAGCCAGCCUCACGCAUUGCCCGCCGCUCUAGGUGCCGGGACGCCAAGGCCUUCGCCGAAGCACCCACGGCCCACUACGCAACUUGGAACGGGCGGGCCGCAGAUUGCGGCAGCAGACCCAGGCCCAAGCGCCACAAUUGGCAUCCGCACCACCUUAAUGCCCCCGCUCGGGUUACAAGCAGGCGCUAGCUGCUCGGCGA
rnacentral:lncRNA from 1 species